CUGCCUGGCAAGCGCAACGUCGUGAGUUCGAUUCCCAGUACCAGAAAAACAAACAAAAAAAAAGAGCUACAGUACAAAGUUGAGGGCUGAGGCUGACCGGUGGUCACUACACCCUGACUCGCGCAUGCGCGCGCUACAUCACACUGGAGCCUGCUUUAUAACAGUGUAUAACGCAAAAUAGAAAUCUGUUACUGUGUAAAGGAAGGCAGGAAAGAGGCAACCCGACAACAGGACAGUAAGCCAGGCCUGAGCGAAAAAGUCGUCUAUGACAGCCUCGCUGUAGCCGCUUGACAGAGUCUUUACUCAACGCAAACUGAGAUGACUGGAUUUUGCAGCAUAGUCUGUGCCCUUUCCUGUGAAGCCUGCUGUCUGCUUGAGUUUCCCGCCCUGACACCUGAUUGGCCGCGCUGCGACUGCCUGCCAGGUGAUGUCUCCAUCCGGAAACCUGGUAGAUACUCUGGAAAAUAACCCUGGGAGGAGAAACGGAGCGUGUGCUCACCCUCAGGAGGAACUGCUGAGCUCAGUUAUCACGGGAGUUGUCGGGAACCAAGCCUAGAAGAGCUGCACCAACGGCCUUUGGAAGGAAACCUUUCAUUUGGAGAUGAUGUGUGCACCGUGCCGGUGUUUUUUCUUUCCUGGUGGUGCUUAAAAUACUAGUGUACCUUACUGUCAGUGGCGGCUCACAGUUGAUGAAGUUCAGCGUGUUAGGUCAAAUUUGUUAAUUAUUCAAACCUGUAUCUCUCUGAUGAUUUUCUCUAUCUGUUGUAAAUUAUGUUAAAAAUCUAAGACUGAAUUUUUCAUUUCUGAAUUUUGUCUAACAUCUUCACUUUCUAUUAGGUGCAUUUAAAUCUGGAUGCAUUUUAUCCUCAGGUUAAUUGAAUCUUCUAUCACUUUAUAGUGACCAUCUUUGUUCUAAUUUUUAUACUUUAAAAUCCACUUUGUUCAAUGUAAAUCUAGCUAUGCCAGCUUUCUUUUGGAUAGGACUUCACUAAUAAAACUUUUUUCAUGCUUUUCCUUAAA